UUUUUGUCCCUAGAUAAUCAGUAGCAUUUUAAUUGAAAAGUUUCGUAUACGUAUACGCGUUCUCACUUCUCAGAUGCACAAAUGAAAAAAAAAACCACUACAGCUCCUCCAAAGAACCUGUGAACGCCUCCUCUCUGUCGCACCUCAUCUCUCCAUUACACAUCUUGCUCGAUUUCUUCUCCAUAGCUAAACCCUAGAUUUUGUUUUCUUCCCCAACAAAGCCACCACCAUUAGACAUUUCCUCCCCUGUGAAGCCACGGUCGAAGACCGUCGCACCCAACAGAUGAGAUUUUUUUUGUUCAUCUUUUCUCGCUAUUGAUUUUUUUCCUGCUGUCGAGCCCUCUCCUGACGUCGAUUUAUUUUCCUAGCUUUCAUUCCUCCUGUUGUACAGAUAUGUCGAAACACACGACAUACCGUCCAUGUAAAUGCCACCGACCUCACUCAUCAUCUUUUUGGUUGUGGUUUUUUUCGAUUCUGAUUCAUUUUCAUGUUAAUUUCUUUCGCUUUUUUGGUUGUGUCUAUCUCUUCUCAUUUGACCAUCAAAGUUCAAAUUAAUUCAUUACAGUCUUAACAUCAAAUUCUGUUCCAGUGUUGGCAAGCCUCUGUUAGUGUUGGCAACCCUCUGCUGGUCAGUUGGCCAGUUGGUAGUGAUCUGAUAUGGAAUGAAAAUGUGAAGAUAACAAAUCCCAACUCUUUUCUUCCUGGAGCAUGACAAAAAGGUCAAUGCUAAUAGAAGAUAAUCAAAUUUCUUUCCAUUUAGAUGAGGAUUGAUGUUUGGUGGUGUCAAAGAUUACUCCCACCACGUUGCAGAAAUAAUAGGACCAGGGAGUGAUAUAGUCUUUCAACAAACUUGUGUAUACAUUAACACAAUCAAAACAUGGAGUCAAACCAAAUAAGUCAAAGUUUCCUUCUUCAGAUGCUGCUUUAACACUUCCGCUACAAAAUUGUAAGAGGCUCAACAUUAAGUGCUUUUGUAAGGGUACAUGUGGGGCUAAUUGUGGAUUAAGUUUUUCUGAAAAUGCUUAUAGGAAGGUGGACAACAUGCAAAGGAACAAUUUGAUGAUGAGUCUCUUGAUAAAGAGCAAGCUCAUAAUCAUGAACAAUUGGCGGCCUUUGAUUCAAAACUCAAAUUGAAGAACAUUUGUCAGCCUUUAUCGAUUCAACUUACCCAAUAAUUUGCCAAGUAAUCGACCAAAUAAUUCUUAAUUUUAUGUUUGUAAGCACUUAGUUAAACAUUUGUAGUUGACACCUUGAAUGUGUAUUAUUGGACACAUUUAAUGUAUUA